UUUUAUGGAUGACCAAAGAAAGUAGUUACUUAAGAUGGGACCUACUCCUGGUGAAGAUGCUGUGAA
rnacentral:pre_miRNA from 1 species